rnacentral:rRNA from 1 species
CACGGGGGGGAGCAAGCGUUGUUCGGAAUUACUGGGCGUAAAGCGCACGUAGGCGGAUUUGUAAGUCAGGGGUGAAAUCCCGGGGCUCAACCUCGGAACUGCCUUUGAUACUGCAAAUCUCGAGUCCGGAAGAGGUGAGUGGAAUUCCUAGUGUAGAGGUGAAAUUCGUAGAUAUUAGGAAGAACACCAGUGGCGAAGGCGGCUCACUGGUCCGGUACUGACGCUGAGGUGCGAAAGCGUGGGGAGCAAACAGG